CUGUCAGUACCUGACAGUUCUGGAAAUUUUUGAUGACAAAAUAUAUUGCGGACCUAAAAUUUUCUUAUCGUUCGUCGCGGAUUGUGCAUUAGUGGAAAUAAUGUUAAUUUUUUGUUAAUUCCCCGAAAAUAUCAUGUAAGUUUUUGGCCGUCCACCAAGAGAAGAGAAAGAACAUUGCAAAGCCGUACGAAUAUGGCCAGUGCCAGUGAGAGUUCGGACGAAUUUUUCGACGCUGAAGAUGACCAUCAUUCAAACACUCCCAGUGGCAGCGGUGGUGGCAAGAAACGUUCGCCGAAAACAAAUGCCGCCGACGCGGAAUUUCAAUAUCCCGACCCGGCAGCAGCGAAAGCGACGGGCACGGAAGCCGCCGGAUUGGUUCUGCCAGAGCCGCAGCCGCAAACGGGCCAAAGAUCGCAAGUGAUUCUGCAUUCGCCCGGCGGCGGAACAACGGUUGCUAACGCGCAACCACAGCACCACGGCCGGGAGGAACACAAGUUCGUCGAACCGACGAAAGUGUACGGUAGGCAACGAUUUCGUGAACUGCGUCAGUGCAUGCAAAAUGACGAAGACGAGAAUCCAGGCAAUACACUAACACCUGAUUCACAGGUAUGAUAUGGAAAGAAAAUUAGUACUAACGAUUGCAAAUUGCGUUGUGCAUGAUCGGUUAAGUGACGUAAUUAUCAAAUUGAAACAUUUAUCACAGAUGAAACGUUUACUUUAAACACACGGGUUGUGAUAAUUACGACAUUUAAGCAAUCAUGGACAUUAGAUAUUGAACUCCACUCCAUCCUUUACCUUGCCUAAUUUACCUUCGUCUGACGAAACUGAACACCUAAAUUUUUCAUUUGCCUGCAUACUACAAUCUGCCGAAAAAUGUGUGUUUUGCAGUGAAGAAAUUUGAGUUUUAGAACUGUAUGCUAGCAAUAUAAAGCCUUUUUCAAAGCCAGCCAGCACAUACAAAACCCCCAUCAGGUAUACGUUGCAUGGGCAGCAGGUAUUUGGCAGCGAUGACAAUGACAACCGUACCGGUUUUCAUAUACCCCAAAAGCCAAGCCGUGUGUAAGGCGAAAUGCAGCAAGCAUGAAAUUGCGUUUGUUCUACCGUUCGCGCGUGUUGAUAUACCUAGGCGCUCAUUGCAUAACUUGCUGGUUGCUGCUUUUACCUUGCGCUCUGCUUUAUGCUAAUUUAUGCGUGUUUCCUCCCGAGCAGAGAAUGAGAACAAAGUUGAGUCAUAUUUAGUGUUACCGCAAGUCUAUUACACCAGUGCCGAAAGGGUGAAGACCAACAGCGGACAAUAGAUGACAGCCGUCAUCGAGAGCGCUAUUGUUACGCUGUCACCGAUCGUUGUACAUGAGGAAGAAAUUGAUGUGUCAAUGCUGAACGGCAUGGUUGUGAUUCGGUAGUUAAGAAUUUCAUCAUAAAUCGUUUAUUUUCAAUAUAUUGCAUACUACUCGAAUUGUAAGAUCCUUGAAUUUGUUAUCCUAAAAUUUGCUCAUAGCUAAUACUUUGUUCCAAUAGAAUCUGCCGUUGCAACGCACUAUAUGCACCGAAUUGUUGUAAUAAGCUAACCCUAUUCGUAAACCAAGAAGCACUAAAUUGUGAGUUUAAUUUGGUAAAUUAUUAUUUGCAUUACUUAUACUAUGACUAUUUGUAGCUUUGAAGCGGAAUAAACACAGCUGUCAAAUCUUAGUGCGAGGGUUUUCAUUACCGCAACAAUUCUUCAAAGAAUUUAAUAUGCCCAGAUCGAAGGAUCCACCACCCCCGCAGGGCGACGAAGUGAUCUGUAUGACCUGCAACAGGCUCGACGUGACCGGUAACUUCGUCCAAUGCGAUGCCUGUGAUGCUUGGUGCCACUUCACAUGUGCCGGAGUUGAUGCAUCAGUGAGCGAACGCGUGUGGGUGUGUGGCAAAUGCCGUGCUGCACCCAGCAUAUCUGGAAAAAGCGGCUGCACGAGCAAAACCGGUUCAUCGUUGGCUCGGGAGCUCGAGCGUCUGAAGCAGCAACAAGAGAUUGAGCUGAAACGUGCGAACCUGGUCAUGCAAAUGAAGUUUCUGGACCAGCAACAGGAACUCUUGAAUAAAGCGGUACCAGAAGAGGAAGCCAGGGAUAAAAUCAGCAACGUUGAUCAGGAGGAGCAUAGGCGGCGAACGCAGGAGUGGGUAAAUCAAACCGAUGGCGACAAGGAAGAAGGCGCAGUAGGAGGCAUCCCUCUACAAGCUGCCUCUCUAGCAGACCACGGUAAUCAACCACUUCAAUCAGUGCAGCCUGGUGCAGCGAAACAAAUUCCUGGAACAACGGACCGGUCACCGGCCCACAACGAGGUAGCAGAGCUACGGGCCCAGCUGGAGAUCUGCAUGAAGCGUAUGGAAGAAGGGUUUCGCAUCACGCAACAGACGAAAUCCCAACCAGCACCAUUGGUACUUCCAUCAGCCGUCCAGUCCGUACGGGAUACAGGUACCAUUCCCAAAUCGUACCCAAUCCAAACGGAACAAACAGGUAAGCGUCCGGCCAUUUCCUAUGCUCAAAAUAAAAACAGCACUAGUUUUUUCGAUAUCAGUCCUCCCGCGAAUACUACCAGAAAUCCUCCUUCUCGUUUUGAGACUCUGCCAAUUGGCACUCAUUCGAAUCCAUACGAUCGUGUCCCCAAUCUGAACCGAUCUCAGUCCACACGUCAUGAGCUUCCCCCCAACAAUCCCCCCAGAGAAAACCAGAUUGAGCCACCGCUAGGUCCUACCGCCCAGCAGCUUGUAGCGAGACAGUCAUUGGCCAGAGAUCUUCCAACAUUCAGCGGAGACCCAGCUGAGUGGCCAAUCUUCAUUUCCAGCUACAAUUAUACAACGGCAGCAUGCGGUUAUACGGAUGGAGAAAAUAUGAUACGUUUACAGCGUUGUUUGAGAGGAAGUGCACUGGAGAGUGUGAGAAGCCGUCUAGUGAUACCGUCUACCGUACCUCAAGUUAUCGAUGCUUUGCAAAUGCGGUACGGGCGCCCGGAGCUUCUUAUCAAUGCGCUUCUUCAGAAGGUGCGGUCGAUCCCGGCGCCUAGAGCCGACCGCCUCGAAGGACUCGUCGACUACGGCACAGCGAUACAAGCGUUGUGCGAUCAUAUCGAGGCAGCGAAUGAAGUCAGUCAUCUGGCGAACCCGACGCUACUGCAGGAACUGGUGGCUAAGCUGCCAUCGGAUCAGAAGAUGAUGUGGGCCGGUUAUCGACGAGGUGUUGGUCACGUGGACUUGCGCACCUUCUGCAACUACAUGCAACAGGUCGUCGAGGAUGCCACCAGCGUACUUUCAUUUGAAGCGGAUGGAAGGCGUCAUGCCGGGAAGGAGUACGGACGAGAGAAGACGAAGCAGAAAGGAUUUCUCAACUCGCACACCUCGGACCAGGAUAGAACGUUCGAAGCACCCGCUUCGAGGUCAACCGACAAAAUUGAAUGUGGGAACUGCGGAAAAAUGGGACACCGCAUCCGAGAAUGUCGUGAAUUCAAGUCGCUCAGCGUGGAUAACCGUUGGCGAAAAAUACGUUCGUUAGGGAUCUGCCAGAACUGCCUGUUUAGGCAUGGCCGACGAUCGUGCCGAACAAAUACACGUUGCGGAAUUGACGGUUGUGAAUACCGACAUCACCCUCUUCUGCACUCGGCUCUACGGCCCUCAACUACGAUUGUCACACAGGUAGCGGACAAUCAUACGCAUCGUCGAGUGACAUCGAGCAUUCUCUUCCGAAUCAUUCCGGUUACUCUAUAUGGCGAGAAAGGAAUAGUAAAUACCUUUGCGUUCUUCGAUGAAGGAUCGUCUGUCACGAUGGUCGAGGAGAACUUGAUGGCCAAGUUGGGUAUCACCGGGAGUCCAGCGCCACUCUGUCUACGGUGGACGGCCAACACAUGUCGAACGGAGAAAAAUUCUCAGAUCGUGUCGAUUACCAUAUCCGGCGAAGAUAAGCAGCAAAGGUACAAACUAGUUGGAGCUCAAACGGUUGAAUCUCUCAAUUUGCCGCGGCAAAGCUUCCAUUACGACGAGGCUGUUAAACGUUUCGAAUAUCUGAAGAAUCUCCCGUUGAGAAGCUACGAGAAUGCUACACCCAGGAUUCUGAUUGGAGUCGACAACCUACAGCUCGCCGUUCCCUUGAAAGUCCGCGAAGGAGAUCGAUCCGGCCCCGUUGCAGCAAAGACCAGACUUGGAUGGUGUGUCUACGGCCAACAGAAGGAAGGAGAUAAGGGUGCCUACUGUUUUCAUGUCUGUGAAUGCACCCCCAACGAGGCACUCCAUGAGUCGGUGAAGCGGUUUUUUGCAGUAGAGGAAGCAGGAUCUUCAAAACCCAUCCUUUCGGUGGAAGACCAGCGAGCCCAGCAGCUUCUGCAGAGUACGACGCGAAGAGUUGGUGAACGAUACGAGACAGGACUACUGUGGCGGACGGACUACGUGGAACUGCCGGACAGCUAUCCCAUGGCGGUCAGUAGGAUGAAAUGUUUGGAACGGCGUAUGGACAAGGAUCCGAGUCUGAAACUGAAAAUUCUCCAGAAGGUGCAGGAGUAUGUGGAUAAGGGAUACGCCCACGUAGCAACAGAAGACGAGAUAGCCAGUGCUGACCCGAGGAGAGUCUGGUUUCUUCCAUUGGGAGCUGUCACAAAUCCCAAAAAACCGUCUAAAGUGCGCAUCAUCUGGGACGCAGCAGCAAAGGUCGAUGGAUCGUCGUUGAACAGUCAUCUUUUGAAGGGACCAGACCAGCUUACUGCACUCCCCUCGGUACUUUUCCGCUUUCGACAGUUUGGCAUAGCGGUAAGUGCCGACAUACAAGAGAUGUUUCAUCAAAUAAAGAUAAAAUCAGAAGAUAAACAUGCUCAAAGAUUUCUUUUCCGGUUCGAUACUGACCAACCUCCUUCGCAAUACGUUAUGGACGUAACUACUUUUGGAGCCACUUGUUCACCGGCCUCAGCGCAGUUCGUUAAGAACUUAAACGCCAAAGAACAUUCCCAUCAGUAUCCUCGGGCAUCCCAGCGUAUAGUCGACAACCAUUAUGUCGAUGACUACUUGGACAGUUUUGAAGAUGAGGAUGAAGCCAAGCAGAUCACAGAGGAAGUUCGUACAGUCCAUCGCAACGGCGGAUUCAACCUGCGGAACUGGAAUUCCAACAGUGGUGCUGUCCUGGAGUUUCUCGACGAGCCAGCAGUAACAAGUGACAAGAACAUCAAUUUAGUCAACAAGGAGCAAACUGAACGGGUUCUGGGGAUGCUGUGGGCAACGAAAUCCGACGAAUUACGGUUCGCCACUCAAAUGAGCGAGGAGGUCAACGAUCUGAUAGGAACCUCUACACGCCCCACGAAACGUCAAGUUCUGCGCUGUGUAAUGACGUUUUUUGAUCCCCUAGGACUGCUCGCAACGUUCCUCAUCCAUGGAAAGGUAUUAAUACAGGAACUGUGGCGAACAGGGAUCGACUGGGACGAGAAAAUUGGAGACGACCAGUUCAAUCGGUGGAGAGACUGGAUACGCAUGAUCCAGUUUAUAGAUACGAUCCGCACUCCGAGAUGUUACUUUGAUUCGGCAACGAGACAAACCUACGAGGACGCUCAGAUACACGUUUUCGUUGACGCGAGUCCUGCUGCAUACUGCUGCGUGGUAUACAUUCGUGUAACAGACCAAGAAGGGUACGGACAUUGCUCGUUAGCAGCUGCAAAGGCAAAGGUGGCACCACUGAAGCCCAUGUCUAUACCUAGACUAGAACUGCAGGGAUGUGUCCUCGGUUCAAGAAUGCUGAAAUUCGUUCAAGAAAACCACUCCAUCGCCUUCACAAAACGAUUUUUGUGGACGGAUAGCACAACAGCUCUUUCGUGGAUCAAUUCGGAUGCAAGCAAUUAUCGACCCUUUGUGGCUCUUCGGGUGGUAGAGAUCCAGGAUUCUACAAACAGUGAUGAAUGGAAAUACGUGCCGUCCUCAUGCAACCCAGCUGACGAGGGGACCAAGUGGGGCAAGGGACCUUACUUUCACUCCGAGAGCCAAUGGUUUGUUGGCCCCCAGUUUCUCACAUACCCUGAAGAACACUGGCCGAGAACUCCUUCAAUAUCUGUUCAAGAGAGGGAAGAACUGCGCAAACCAGUGAUGAACCAUGUGUCCGUAGAACCCCUCAUCAAAUUCGAAAGGUUUUCAAAAUGGGAGAAGCUUCAACGAACCGUGGCAUACGUGUUGCGGUUUCUACACAACCUUAAGCCGCAUCAAAUUAAAGCAGUUGGAGAGUUUCACCAGCAGGAACUGCAAGCGGCAGAAGCAGUUAUUAUUCGACAAGAGCAGUGGACGUCGUUUCCGGAGGAAAUGGCGACCCUUACCCAAAGGCAGAAGAAUAGUCUACAAACGAUUUCGAAGGCAAGCAAGCUGUAUCAACUAGUACCGGCGUUGGAUGAACAAGGAGUUAUGCGCCAAAACGGGCGUAUCGGAGCAGCUAAGAAUGUGUCGUACAAUAUGCGGUAUCCGGUGAUCCUUCCAAAGAACGGUGUGGUCACUAUGUUAAUAGUUGACAAAUACCACAGAGCCUACAAGCACGCGAAUCCAGAAACGGUUGUCAACGAAAUCCGCCAGAACUUCGAAAUUCCAAGACUUCGAUCGAUCGUUCGACGAUAUGGACGCCAUUGUCAGUACUGCAAACUUCGAAAAGCAAUACCAUCGAUCCCUCCAAUGGCUCCUCUACCAGCAGCGCGCCUUGCUGCUUAUUGUCGACCGUUCAGCUACGUUGGACUGGACUAUUUUGGCCCUCUGUUGGUCAAGCAGGGACGGGCAAACGUAAAACGAUGGAUAGCACUUUUUACUUGCCUUACCGUGCGUGCUGUCCAUCUAGAGGUUGUAAGCAGCCUGACGACCUCAUCCUGUGUUUCGGCGGUACGAAGAUUCAUCGGACGACGGGGAGCACCAGUAGAGUUCUAUAGCGACAACGGGACGAACUUUCAAGGUGCGGAAAGGCUUCUACGGGGACAAAUUGAGCGGGGAUUGUCAUCGACCUUUACUAGUGCACAAACGAAGUGGCUGUUCAUUCCUCCAGGUGCACCGCACAUGGGCGGCGCCUGGGAGAGAAUGGUGCAGUCUGUGAAAGCUGCCAUGGGUGAAGCUUACGGGGACGGGAAGCUUGACGAAGAAGGACUAUGGACUCUGGUAGUUGAGGCUGAGAGCAUGGUCAAUUCCCGGCCGUUGACGUACCUGCCGCUCGACGCCGAAGAGUCGGAGGCAUUAACUCCCAAUCAUUUUCUGCUUGGGAGCUCCAGUGGAAUAAAAGAACCAAGCCAUGACAUACUUGAUCAACCACGCGACCUUCAGAGGACGUUUCUCGAUAUUCAGGACCAACUGAACUCCUUCUGGAAGCGCUGGUUGCGCGAAUACCUGCCAGUCAUUCGAAGGCAACCGAAGUGGUUCGAUGAAGCAGUUAGGGAGAUCAAAGAGGGAGACUUGGUUCUGAUCACCGAAGAUGGGAAACGAAGCGGAUGGACCCGAGGUCGGGUCAAAAGCGUUAUUCACGGACAAGAUGGGAAGAUACGUCAAGCAAUACUGCGCACUGCUAAUGGAUAUUUGCGAAGACCAGUGACGAAGAUAGCCUUGCUAGAUGUUGGGAGAAUUAGUGCAGUCUUACCCGAUGGGAAGAUGCACCCGGCGGAGGAUGUUACCGCAAGUCUAUUACACCAGUGCCGAAAGGGUGAAGACCAACAGCGGACAAUAGAUGACAGCCGUCAUCGAGAGCGCUAUUGUUACGCUGUCACCGAUCGUUGUACAUGAGGAAGAAAUUGAUGUGUCAAUGCUGAACGGCAUGGUUGUGAUUCGGUAGUUAAGAAUUUCAUCAUAAAUCGUUUAUUUUCAAUAUAUUGCAUACUACUCGAAUUAAUCUGCCGUUGCAACGCACUAUAUGCACCGAAUUGUUGUAAUAAGCUAACCCUAUUCGUAAACCAAGAAGCACUAAAUUGUGAGUUUAAUUUGGUAAAUUAUUAUUUGCAUUACUUAUACUAUGACUAUUUGUAGCUUUGAAGCGGAAUAAACACAGCUGUCAAAUCUUAGUGCGAGGGUUUUCAUUACCGCAACAUUUAGGUUUUGGUAUUUUUUUUUUGUUCAACGAAAACUAUUUAUUUCUGACUUCAGUAGUUGGUAAUAAUCCUUGUUGGUGUAGUUAAGUGGAAUUCCUCCGGGACUACCUUCUUAGAUUAAUCCAUGAUAUUUGAAGCAGUUGCAUCGAGGGGCUCUCCAGGAAUUUCCUUUGGGAUUCAUCAAGGAGUUUCAUUUGGAAUCUGAAUCUUUUCUGAAAAUUUCUCCUUCGGCGGUUUGUGAAGGAGUUCUUUCUGGGGUUUCUGCUUUCGAGUUUCUUCUACGCACUUCUGAGAUGCUUCAAAGAGUACCUUCUGUAUAGGGUGUCCCAGAAAGUAUGGGCACAACUUUGCAGCUCUGCCAUUUGGGAAUGGAUGCAUAAACAAACUUUAUUUUCACACAUAUCCUGCCUUAAUAUGUCAACAUCAAAUGCCAAUCAUUAAAAUUUGCAUUUCACACUUCGUUUGAAUGCGGUAGAACAUUUCCUGAAAGACCUUUUAAAGCUUCUGCACAAAUUGCUAUAUUUUUCAAUAACAUCGCUUAACAAAUUGUUUUCCACGCAUGAAAUUAAGCUCGAUAAAAAUUUCAAAAAAUAUAUCCGUGUACUUCUACAUGCGUAUCUAUUAUACAACCCUAAGUUCGAAUUGAAAACAUAUACUUUUGAACCUGAAAAAUGAAUUGAAACACCAAAUCGAUAUCUUUGAAAACCUGUUUUUCUAGUAGUUGAAAACAAGCUUCUGAAUAUAUAUCACAACAUGCAGAAAAUUACAUUUUUAUUUCACUAUAAGUUCAAUAAAUGCUCCAGCUUUAUAAAGUGUAGAUUGAGUUGUUUUUAUUCUCGUGAAAACAUGUUUUAAAACUCGAAUGUCUGUGGGCAUUAGUGUGGGUCAUCGGAAGCCUUUUCUCAGAUCAAAGCUUUUUUGGUUCCGUUUCGGGUCCUGAGUAUUUGUGCAAAAUUUGAGCACGAUCGGUUGCGUCUACACUUUGCGCAUUGAAUUUGAAAUUUGUAUGGGAUUUUGUAUGGGAAAACAUACUUUUUUGCAUUUUAGCCAUAAGUUGACAAAGUUUGUCUGAAACUUUUUAACCGAUGCUGUAAAAUGAUACCCUAGGAUGUUCUGAAGAACUUUGUUGAAGACCGCAAAGCGAUCCGAUGCUUGUGAAAAUAGUUAUAACCAACGAACCGCAUGCAUGUGCUUAUGUUUUAACAUGUAAAGGAAUAACAAUAGCAACAAAAUUAUGAUGUUUCGCCAAGCAAUGCCAACGCUAUAACUUUUUUCAUAAGCAUCAGAUCACUUCGCGGUCUUCGACAAAGUUUUUCAGGACACCCUAGGCUAUGUUUUCACUUUAACGGUUACACGGUUUAAAAAAAAUCGAGCUUGUUAUGGGAGAAAUGCAAAAAAGUGUGUUUUCCCAUGUAAAACCCCAUACAAACUUCAAACGCGAUGCGCAAAACGUAGACAUAACCGAUCGUGCCCAAAUUUUGCACACUUAUUUGGGUCCUGAAAUGGGAUCAAAAAAGCUUUGAUCUGAUGGGAUACCAUUGAAUUUUUCACUUUUCCAUAUAAACGAUGACCCACUCUAGUGGGCAUGUUUAAUCCAGAAAUAGAAAAGGAGUUUUCUCAAAAUUAUGAUUUGCCCGUACGCACAAUCAAAACAUAUUUUUAUAAAAAAAUUCAAUCAACCAUCUGAGGAAACAUGUUUUCGAAUGUAUCAUGUGAAAAAAACUCGAAAAAAAUGUUUCGAAUUUGGAUAUUUGGCAAAACCGUAAAAAAAGUAGUUUGUGCAGAAGUUUUAAAACAUGUUUUUCCAUUUUAAUCAUUCUGCAUAUAGAAACCAAUUUUAAUGUAUAAACUCUUCACAGGUAUCAAUUAAAAUACCUUGAAUAAAAAUACAAAAAUAUAAAAAUUGUUGUUUGUUAAGAAAAAGAUUGUAUUUUCGCUAUACAAAGUUGUGCCCAUACUUUCUGGGACACCCUAUAAUUCCUCCUAGGAUUUAAUCAUUUGAAGAUGUCUCCUUCUAAAAUUCCUCCAGGAGCUCUUCUUCAGAUUCCUCCAGCAUUUCCUUCACAAGUCCCUCACUUAGUUCAUUCUAGGAUUCCUCCAGGAUUUUCGUCUGUGAUUACACCAGAAGUUUCUUCUGGUAUCUCCCCAGAGUUCAGAAGUUCCUCCUGAAAGUUUUCCAGAAGUUUUUUCGGGAUACUUUCCGGUAUGCCUUCCGGAAUUUUUGCGACAGUUGCUUUUAGAAUUUCUGGAGAUCCUACUGGAAGUCUUCUGAUAGACUUCCGCAAGUUCGUUUUGGAAUUCUUCCAACCAAUGAACCUAGAGGAAAACUUUCAGCAUUUCAAAACAGAUUUCCUUCAAGAGUUUUUUCGAAAUUGUUCCAUGAGUUCCUGUUCAAAUUCGUUUGAGAGUUAUGUAUUAUGCAUAUUAUUAGCAUUAGCAUUAGCAUUGAGCGAGUCGCACAAAUUCGUAGGUGGUACAGUCCUAGACCGCUGUUAUGAGGGUUGCCUCCUUCCCGUCCGAACCAAAGCACAAAGAUUUGGGACUAAUCUCUGACUCUUAGACAAGACUGACGCAAUCCUCCAAUGGUCGAGCAGUGUCCUGGCCACGUCCUUGCGACUGCUGAGGAAUGGGGAAGGAUGGUUAGUUUUGGACACCUAUGAAAAAUGUAGACAACUCUACGAUCUCUCAGGCCUAGGUGUCACGGGAAUUAGGGUGUUGUUAGUGGAAGAGUAAACUCCAAAGGCUACGCUUGGUUAACGUUCAGGCACACCAUUGUUAGACUGCUUCGAAUCAGUUGUAUGCCCAAUUCAUCCUGGUUUUCUCGUCAUAUUGUUGGCAUUUGGUUGAAUUACUAGAUUCUUCGGUUGAUAAUCUGAAAUAUAAAAUAAUAUUACCAUCGUACGUCAAAUAAGCUACAUAUUUGUGAUACGCUCGCCACAGCUACAUAUUUUUAAAAUAUUAUUUAUACCGUACGAUACAUUUACCUGAAUCCUGCUGAAAUAAAAUGUUAAUUAGCAGUACAUUGAAACACAAGUACGACAAAACACAAGGAAAAGAGCAUCAAACUUUGAUCUUGGAAUAUUUAAAAAUACGGUAAAUAUCAAGAUCAAAAUUUGAUUUGGUAGAUCUUACACCGCAACGCACCAUUCUAAGGUGAUCUACCCACGUUACGGGGUAGUUAUGUAUUAUGCAUAUUAUACGCAGAAAAAAAUAUGUAAUUAAAAUUCAGCGAGAAAUCAUGCACAUGAAGUUGACUAAUUCCUCCAACAAUUUCUUAAACUAUUUUUUGCAAUUUCUCAUCGUAAUAGGCUGUUUUUCCUCACGCAAAUCUGACAGGAAAAGGCCUACUUUCCCACACCAAAUUAACAGUGCUGUAAUGGUUCAUUACAACACUGAUUUGCGUUGCGUAAUGAACCAUUACAGCACUGUUUUCAGUUUUGGUCAACUUCUUGAUGCUUUCUGGACGCAGUUUUGAAAAAAUGUGACAACUGCACAGUAUAACCUGUUAUGUUCAGAUUUUCUCAAACAUGGCUUUGAACAUCAGUGUGCAGUUUGAUGAAAAAGUUUUGUUAAAACUAUCCUCAAGGGUAAUUUAUGAAAUUGCAAAAAACGUUGUACGCAACUCGGUGCAGAACUCGAUUUUUCCAGCACUCGUCGUAAUUAUCCAACUCGGCAAGCCUCGUUGGAUAAAUGUACGACUCGUGCUGUAAAAAUCGUCAUUCUGCACCUUGUUGCGUAAACUACUAUUGUCAACAGUUACAGUAUGUCCAUGAAGUCGCUGUAAGUUUCCUCCAAAAGCUUCCUAUGGGAUUACAUUUCUUAAGCAAUUUCUUCUGGGAAUCCCAGAGAAAAAAACUUCUGAAGACAUUUCAAAUGAAACUGGAAAAAUCUGAAUUUGUUGCGUACAGAAUUAGUACGUUUGGGGCUUAACGGAACUGGCAACACUGAAGCGAGGUUUACGACUACAAGCGCCAGCGCUGACAAACGGUCGAUUGGGCAGUGUUGUUCGAUUUGUAAGCCCUGUAGAAGCUGUUAUGCGAUUAGGAGAUCUGUCUGUCUCGAGAACGGAUACUAGAUUGCAAGAUGUUGAAUGAAAUGUAAUUAAUUUACUAUUAAUAUUACUCGGUAAGAAUUCCUGAAGUAAUUUAGGAAAGAGUUCCUGGAAAAAAUCGGAAGAAAUUCCUAGAGAAAUCCUGGAAGCAACAUGGACAAAUCUGGAAAAAAAAGUUCCUAGAUGAAUUCCGAAAAAAAAACACCUGGAGGAGUCCGAGAACUCCUGGGGGAAUCCAAGAAGGCAUUCCUUAGGAUACCCCAGAAUAAACCUCUGAAGGAAUCCUGGCAGAAGUUUCUGGAUGAAUUCCAGAAACACCUUUUGUAUGUAUCCCAGUUGGCAUCUCUUUAGAAAUCUCAGAAGAAACUGUAGAAGAUUAUGACAUUAGAGUAAUAUAAAUACAGGAGGACCUAAUAAUUCUCUCAAUCGCUCAACGACAACCAUGACAAAAACUCUCCCAUUCAAGAGGUUAUGGGCCUUUGGAUCAACUUAAAAGUCUUAUGGAGAAUCACUGAAGCGAACCGGUCGAAACUUCGGGUCUGCUUAAGAUGCAAGCGAACAAGAUCGUUUUGGAGCGCCUUAACAACGCCAACUACGAAAGCUGGAGAUUCAAGGCAGAUAUGUUGCUAAUCCGGGAGUCCUUUUGGAAGUAUAUUUCGGAACAAGCGCUCGUGCCGAUAACCGCCGAUUAAAAAUCCGGGCGGGGACGACCGGACAAGGGCAACCAUAGCGCUAUUCGUUGAAGACUGUCAACACUCAACCAUUGUGAACUGCAAGACCGCUAAGGAAUCUUGGGAAGCUCUGAAGCAACGUCAUCAAAAUGCGUCGUUAUCGUCGAAGGUCACUAUCCUCAAAUGAAUUUGCCAAAUGGAGUACCGCAAUGGAGAAAACAUGGAACGUCAAGGUAUGGAAUCGCUCUUCUCCCGUCUGCCUAAUGCUGGUCAGAAACUGGGUCCGCAACUGAUGGUAGCCAUAGUACUGAUGUAUCUGCCUGACACAUACGCCACUUUGACGAUGGCAUUGGAGACGCAGUCCAACAACGAGCUUAUAAUAGAACUUCUGGAAGCGAAGCUGAUAGACGUAUACGUCAUAUAUGCACAACUUCGGAGAAUCAAUUUUGAAAAUUGAAGCUGGAAGAAAGCAGUAGAUCUUGUUCCAUUCCUGAAACAAGCCUGAACACAAAAUGAAUGAUUGCCUAUUUUCAAACCGUCAGCGUCGGCAGAAGGAUCAAGAAUUUCUUCCGAAGAAUGAACUUCGUCAGUCAUCAUCAGGAUUCUAACAAGUCUGUCCUUAAUAUCAAUGUGAGUUUAAAAGGUUUUGUGACCUUUAGAGAUGAAAAAAAAAAAUGAUUCCAAAAAUUGAUCAACAAACCAAAAUAAACGUUAAACAAAAAGUUGUUGAUGUUUUCGCAUCUGACAGAGAAAAUAGGUAGAGAAGCGAAGAGUGAACAGCCGUCUGAAUGGCAACACUUUUUGUUUUGAUUUCGUAAGUCGGAUGUUGGCAACUGCCGAAAAACAGAUUAAUCCACCUAUCGAGGGUAGUGUCUU